AAAAAACUGUCAUCAUCAUCAGCAACUGCACAAUGCACGAAUGCACGCACUUUAGUUUUGUUAUCGACUGCAAACAAACUGCGGAAGCAUGCGAGAUCUCGAAGUCCAAGCGUAUUACAAACGUGAUGUCUUAUCCACCGCGUCGCGCUCUGGCCUUGCAACAUUAGACGAAAACAUCGAACUUUGUCGUAGCCCGUACCUCAUAGCCACGAACGAUCUCUCGGCAUGGUUUGCGCCAGCCUCAAGGGUGUCAGGUUCGAGAAUUGGUCCAAGACGUUUACUUGCAGGCCUGAGUACUUCUUCGAACCGAAAAGUCAGGAUGAGCUACUCGAGGUCUUGGAUUUCGCCCGACAGCGCGGGAAAAAAGUUCGAGUGGUUGGCGCUGGUUUCUCGCCGUCGGACAUCGCAUGCACGUCGGAAGUCAUGAUCAGCAUGUUGCACCUGAACAAAGUCCUGAAGGUGGAUAAGGCGACUGCAACUGUGAAGGCUGAAGCUGGCAUCACAUUGAAAAGGCUGAAUGAAGUGGAGCUUGCUCAGAAUGGCCUGGCUCUUAUGAGUCUUGGCGCUGUUUCCGACAUAACUGUUGGCGGGGCCAUUGCUACUGGUGUUCAUGGGUCUGGUGCGCACCAUGGCAUAUUUUCAACACAGGUUCUGGAACUUGAGCUCAUCACAAGCAGUGGCGAGAGGCUCCGCUGCUCGAAGUCAGAGAAUGAGGAUGUCUUUCGGGCAGCCUGUUGUGGCCUGGGCUCCAUCGGCAUUGUCGUUACAGCUACAGUGCAGUGUGUGCCAGCUUUCAGACUGCUGGAAAUGCGCUACUCUUGUCGCUUGCAGGAGGUUCUUGAGAAUUUGGAUGUGCAUCUUCAAAGUUCAGACCAUUUCCGUUGCUUGUGGUACCCACACACAGACUCUACAGUUUGCUUUCAUCUCUCAAACACAAAAGACGAGAUAACAAAGCCAUCUUUUCUUGAGGCUGUCUAUUACUGGAUUGUGGAUUAUGCCUUCGGAUACUAUGUCAUGGAGUUUCUACUCUACCUGAGCACAUGGUUUCCUUCCUGGGUUCCAUGGCUCAAUGAGCUGUUUCUCAACAUUGUCUUUGCACCGCGACGCCGGAGGGUGGAUUUGAGUUACCGUAUAUUCAACUAUGAAUGCAGAUUCAAGCAACAUGUCAAUGAGUGGUCCAUUCCAAGAGAGAACACUGCUCUCGCAUUGUGGAAAUUGAAAGAGUGGAUUGACAACACCCCAGGUGUUUAUGUGCACAUACCUGUGGAAAUUCGCUUUGUCCAAGCUGACGACAUUUACCUGAGCCCUGCGUCUGGUCGGGACAGCUGCUACAUCAAUGUCAUCAUGUACAGCAGGUUUUCAGUGAUGAUGCCUUGCAGACCUCAGGGAUAAAGGAGUGGCAUAACCCCUUCAAAGAUGAGCCAAUGUCAGUGUACAGUGAACCAUGUUCAGCUCAACAAGCCAAAAUGAGAAUGUUGUUGAGCAAGCCCAGACAACUCAUCAUAAAGUUCUGUCUCCACACAGUCUGAGAACUCGCGAAUGAGAUCAGGGCCUUAUGGAAAGAAAGUGGCCUAUGAGCGUUAUUGGGCUGCCUAUGAAAAGAUCAUGAAAAGUCUUGGCGGACGGCCUCACUGGGCUAAGGCUUAUGAUGCAACUUCAAAGGAGCUCCGA
rnacentral:misc_RNA from 1 species